rnacentral:misc_RNA from 1 species
AAGUCGUAACAAGGUUUCCGUAGGUGAACCUGCGGAAGGAUCAUUAUCUUUGGGUGGGAGCCCGGCGAGAUAGGACCCUUGCAUUUUCGAGUACCGCCCGUUUCCUCGGCAGGCCCGCCUGCCAAUGGGGACAGCAAACGCCCUGAAGCACCCGUAACCAGUCUGAUAACAAACACAAAAGUCAAAACUUUCAACAACGGAUCUCUUGGUUCUG